rnacentral:rRNA from 1 species
UACGUAGGGUGCGAGCGUUGUCCGGAAUUAUUGGGCGUAAAGAGCUUGUAGGCGGUCUGUCGCGUCUGCUGUGAAAAUCCGGGGCUCAACCUCGGACUUGCAGUGGGUACGGGCAGACUAGAGUGUGGUAGGGGAGACUGGAAUUCCUGGUGUAGCGGUGAAAUGCGCAGAUAUCAGGAGGAACACCGAUGGCGAAGGCAGGUCUCUGGGCCACUACUGACGCUGAGAAGCGAAAGCAUGGGGAGCGAACAGG